rnacentral:rRNA from 1 species
UACGUAGGUGGCAAGCGUUGUCCGGAAUUAUUGGGCGUAAAGCGCGCGCAGGCGGUUUCUUAAGUCUGCUGUGAAAGCCCACGGCUCAACCGUGGAGGGGCAUUGGAAACUGGGGGACUUGAGUACAGAAGAGGAGAGCGGAAUUCCACGUGUAGCGGUGAAAUGCGUAGAGAUGUGGAGGAACACCAGUGGCGAAGGCGGCUCUCUGGUCUGUAACUGACGCUGAGGCGCGAAAGCGUGGGGAGCAAACAGG